rnacentral:rRNA from 1 species
GAUUAGAUACCCUGGUAGUCCACGCCCUAAACGAUGUCAACUAGCUGUUGGGGUCUUCGGACCUUGGUAGCGCAGCUAACGCGUGAAGUUGACCGCCUGGGGAGUACGGUCGCAAGAUUAAAACUCAAAGGAAUUGACGGGGACCCGCACAAGCGGUGGAUGAUGUGGAUUAAUUCGAUGCAACGCGAAAAACCUUACCUACCCUUGACAUGUCUGGAAUCCCGAAGAGAUUUGGGAGUGCUCGCAAGAGAACCGGAACACAGGUGCUGCAUGGCUGUCGUCAGCUCGUGUCGUGAGAUGUUGGGUUAAGUCCCGCAACGAGCGCAACCCUUGUCAUUAGUUGCUACGAAAGGGCACUCUAAUGAGACUGCCGGUGACAAACCGGAGGAAGGUGGGGAUGACGUCAAGUCCUCAUGGCCCUUAUGGGUAGGGCUUCACACGUCAUACAAUGGUCGGGACAGAGGGUCGCCAACCCGCGAGGGGGAGCCAAUCCCAGAAACCCGAUCGUAGUCCGGAUCGCAGUCUGCAACUCGACUGCGUGAAGUCGGAAUCGCUAGUAAUCGCGGAUCAGCAUGUCGCGGUGAAUACGUUCCCGGGUCUUGUACACACCGCCCGUCACACCAUGGGAGUGGGUUUUACCAGAAGUAGUUAGCCUAACCGCAAGGAGGGCGAUUACCACGGUAGGAUUCAUGACUGGGGUGAAGUCGUAACAAGG